rnacentral:rRNA from 1 species
UUAGAUAAUCGCUGAAAGCAUCUAAGUGAGAAACUAACCUCGAGAUGAGAUUUCCCAUUCGUCAGAAGUAAGACCCCUGAGAGACGAUCAGGUAGAUAGGCUAGAAGUGGAAGUGUAGUGAUGCAUGGAGCGGACUAGUACUAAUAGGUCGAGGACUUAACCAAG